rnacentral:lncRNA from 1 species
UAGCAAGUAACGAUCUAAAGUAUAUUUGAGAGAAAAUCAAAAGAUCUUAAAUUUUAGGGUUUCGAAGAACCCAGAAAAGGUGAGAAAGGCCUUGAAAGUUACCGACAUAACCAGAAGAGUCAAGGAUCUGACUCGAACGGCCAUGGCUAGCCGGAAAGGUCAUGGAUGACCGGAGAAAAGCCAUGAACAGCAGUCGAGGAAGGAGUGGACCAAAGUCCUUCAAAGUCUGGUCAUGAAACCAGAGGAACAAACAUAUAGGAGCCACGAAAGGCUGGUACAUGCCUCAAAUGACCAUGGAAGGUCAUAGAUUAGAUAUGUAUUAUGGUGGGGUGAGAGGGAAACGACUAGGGUUCAUGGAUGUUUCAGAGAGAAUUGAGAGGUAAGGGGAAUUCAAGGGUGGUUAUA